rnacentral:rRNA from 1 species
UGUUCUCAGUUCGGAUUGUAGUCUGCAACUCGACUACAUGAAGCUGGAAUCGCUAGUAAUCGUAGAUCAGCAUGCUACGGUGAAUACGUUCCCGGGUCUUGUACACACCGCCCGUCACACCACGAGAGUCUGUAACACCCGAAGCCGGUGGAGUAACCAUUUAUGGAGCUAGCCGUCGAAGGUGGGACAAAUGAUUGGGGUGAAGUCGUAACAAGGUAGCCGUAUCGGAAGGUGCGGCUGGAUCACCUCCUUUCUAAGGA